ACGAACAGAAACGAGACGGCGUUCGCUUGGCACAUGCUUGCAGCUAUGGCUGAUGCUGCAGCUGUAGAGUGUUGUGGUACGCAAUAUUCAUGCGACACAGCGAGCAACACCCUCUCAUGGAUCAACGCCAUCGUCGACUUCAUCGCCCCGUUCAACUCUUUAAUUAAUGCCCACGUCGUCAAUUUCUUCACGGAUAGGCUGUGGGAGAAUGUUGACAAGGAAUGGAUGGAUUGUCUCCGCAGAGAACCUGUUCAGAAUCUUCUCUUGAUACCAUCUGGAGUGGUGCAGGACCACUGGCCAGUUUCUUUGAAGCAAUUCAUCCUAAAGUUAAGGGCUUUAGCACUUUGUCAAGAACAAGUAGAUGUAAACACAGCAUUACCUGGUCUGUAUAUUACUUCACUUAACACUGUUCUUGCUCAAGGCAUGAACGUGAAGAAAAAACAUGAAGUAGAAAUACUUUCGGCUGUUGUAAGCACAGUCGCCAAUAAUGUUAGAGCUGAUGCUGUUAUUGAUGUUGGUGCUGGUCAGGGUUAUCUUGCACAAGUGCUUGCCUUUCAAUAUCAGCAUCCUGUCAUUGCGAUUGAUGCAUGUUCUCAUCAUGGAAGUGUUACUGAUGCACGUGCAGAACGAAUUAAAAAGCAUUAUGUGUCACAGAUGUUAAAAUCUGGAUCAGGCAUGUGGAGUUUGAAUGUUCCAAAGACAAUCACAUGUCAUGUAUUGUCAAUUGAUACAUUGAAAACUUUGGUUGAAGCAUCUUUGCCUGUAGAUGAUGCUUUGCAAUCCACAUCAAUGGGGAACCAAAACAAAGAUCAAGGGAAAAUAUGUUGGUCCGGUAAUGCAAAGAGAAAACCUUCGACUGUUCUUGCUGGGCUUCAUGCCUGUGGUGACCUUUCAGUGACUAUGCUGAAGACUUUCAUAGAGUGCCAAGAUGUUAAAGCUGUUGUUAGUCUUGGUUGCUGUUACAAUUUAUUGUCUGAAGGAAGUGCUAAGGAUGGUGAAUCUGAAUUUGGGUUUCCAAUGAGUCAUGCUGUAAGAUCUGCGGGUUUAUCACUUGCAAAAAAUGCGCGUGAUCUUGCUUGUCAGAGUGCAGAUAGAUGGAGGAGCUUGGAUAUGCAUGCCGGAAUUCAUAACUUUGAGUUGCAUGCUUUUCGUGCCGCAUUUCAAAUGGUUCUUUGUAAAUAUUAUCCAGAUUUCACAAUGAACACUCCUUCAAUUGGCCGUAAAGGGAAGGCUCUGCGCCGGAGACAUCAAAGGAGAUCUGCAGAGUCCCAUCUGCAUCUUAAAGGAAGUACUGGUCUCCUGAGGCAAGAUUUUCUGCCUGUAGUUUCCACGGAAUCUGAAACCGACGAGAUUUUGGCCCCUCCAAUAGAAGUACAAGCUGGGUGUGGAGGGACUAAAUCCCGCGACACAUUUUUACAUUUUGAGAACUUCUGCCACUCUGGAUUGUCUCAUCUUGGUAUUAAGCUUUCAAAUGAUGUAAACCUUAAAGGCAUAUGGAAGGAAGCAGAACCAUUUUUGUUUGUUUAAGCUCCAAAGUCCAAACAGGUCCUUGGGAUUGUAAGCAUUCAACUUUCAUGUGUGAACGAGAUUUGUUAGUGCCAAACAGUUGGUUGGGUUGGGUGGAGCUUUAGUUGGAUUAAUAGGGCAUGCAGGAGAUGAAAUCAUGAAUCCAGCCCCCACGUUGUUUUCCAUGUUUCCAGUCGUCUAAGAAGACCUUAUAGGACCCUUUUGGUCACUCAGGGCUUCUCUUGGACCUCUUUUGGAAACUCUGAUUCUGCUUGACAGACUACUGUUUCUUCAAGAGCAAGAUAGCACAGUGGAAGCCUACUUGUUACCCAUUUUUGACCCAAUGAUAUCUCCAAGAAAUGUGGCCGUAAUUGCAAAAAAGACUGACAAACAUUUAAGAUCCUCCUGUUAUUGAAAGCUUUUAUUAAAGGUAAGGAAGCAUGAACAUGAAGCAAGCUUACUGACUGGCAUCAAAAAGGUUUUUGAGAUUUAUACUGAAAAUUAAAAAUGUUGUACUAGUUGUUCUUUAUUAGAUAUUUUUCAUUCACAUAAACCAUAGAGAGUACUAGUAGAAUAAGGUUUUGUUGUAAAUGAUAUACCGUACUAGUAUUGCUUCAUCAACACUUCGCUGCCGAACGGACUUGUGAUUUCUGUAGAACUUCUCAACCUCAGUUAAGAGGAUGAAAUAGUGCCAAAAUGGUACUUCCAUUGCUCAAUCCCAUUUGCUUCCCUUGUAACAACUUUUCAGCUGGUUUAUUUGUAAGAAUUGUUAUGUGGUUUGAAUCUUAAUAUAUUUACAUUUUUUUUUUC